GACGAACGCUGGCGGCGUGCUUAACACAUGCAAGUCGAACGGAAAGGCCCUGCUUUUGUGCGGUUCUCGUUUGGCGAACGGGUGAGUAACACGUGAGUAACCUGCCCUUGUCUUUGUGAUAACUUCAGGAAACUGGGGCGAAUACCGCAUAGGAUCUCCUGCUCCGUGGUGGGGGUUGGAAAAUUUCGGCGUUUCGGGAUGGACUCGAGGCUUAUCAGCUUGUUGGUGGGGUAGUGGCUUACCAAGGUUUUGACGGGUAGCCGGCCUGGGAGGGUGACCGGCCACAUUGGGACUGAGAUACGGACCAGACGCCUACGGGAGGCAGCAGUGGGGAACAUUGCACAAUGGGCGGAAGCCUGAUGCAGAAACGCCGGGUGCGGGAUGCCGGCCUUCGGGUUGUAAACCGCUUUCGACGGUGACGAAGCGUGCGUGACGGUAAUGGGUAAAGAAGCACCGGCUAACUACGUG
rnacentral:rRNA from 1 species